rnacentral:rRNA from 1 species
CGCAUCUGUGCAUGCAGCAUAUCAAUAAGCGGAGGAAAAGAAACUAACAAGGAUUCCCCUAGUAACGGCGAGUGAAGCGGGAAGAGCUCAAAUUUGAAAUCUUAAAGGGUUUCCCUUUACGAAUUGUAGUUUAAAGAAGUGUUUUCUGUUGAGGUUUUGGUAAAAGUUCUUUGGAAUAGGACAUCAUAGAGGGUGAGAAUCCCGUAUUUGACCUUUACUUUCAACUUUGUGAUACACUUUCAAAGAGUCGGAUUGUUUGGGAAUGCAGUCCAAAAUGGGUGGUAAACUUCAUCUAAAGCUAAAUAUUGGCGAGAGACCGAUAGCGAACAAGUACCGUGAGGGAAAGAUGAAAAGAACUUUGAAAAGAGAGUUAAACAGUACGUGAAAUUGUCAAAAGGGAAGCGUUUGACACCAGUGUUGUUUUUCUGAAAAUCAAUUAAAGAACUGUUUAUGCUAAGUUGUUUAGACUUUAUCAGCUAACUGUUUAGUUUUGAGCUUUUCUUUAAUGCACUUUUCAGUUAACAAGUCAACAUCAAUUUCUUUUGCUGUAAAAAAGCUUGAGGAAGGUGGCUUGAGAUUCGUCUUAAGUGUUUAUAGCCUCUUGCCUAUGCAGUCGGAGAGAUUGAGGUCUGCAGCGUAGAUCCUUCGGGGCUAAAUGCAUUUGUGCUAAGUUAUAGCAUUUUAUAGACAACUUGUUGACUAUGAUUUGUCUUGUAGCUUACUCGCUUAUGUUAUUUUACCUACGCUUAGGAUGUUGAACGCGCACAGAGUCUC